UACGGGGGGGGCAAGCGUUGUUCGGAAUUACUGGGCGUAAAGGGUCUGUAGGCGGCCGUCUAAGUCGGACGUGAAAUCCCUCGGCUCAACCGGGGAACUGCGUCCGAUACUGAAUGGCUUGAAUCCGGGAGAGGGAUGCGGAAUUCCAGGUGUAGCGGUGAAAUGCGUAGAUAUCUGGAGGAACACCGGUGGCGAAGGCGGCAUCCUGGACCGGUAUUGACGCUGAGAGACGAAAGCCAGGGGAGCAAACGGG
rnacentral:rRNA from 1 species